rnacentral:rRNA from 1 species
UGGGGAAUAUUGGACAAUGGGCGCAAGCCUGAUCCAGCCAUGCCGCGUGAGUGAUGAAGGCCCUAGGGUUGUAAAGCUCUUUCACCGGUGAAGCGGUAACCGGAGAAGAAGCCCCGGCUAACUUCGUGCCAGCAGCCGCGGUAAUACGAAGGGGGCUAGCGUUGUUCGGAAUUACUGGGCGUAAAGCGCACGUAGGCGGACAUUUAAGUCAGGGGUGAAAUCCCGGGGCUCAACCCCGGAACUGCCUUUGAUACUGGGUGUCUAGAGUCCGAGAGAGGUGAGUGGAAUUCCGAGUGUAGAGGUGAAAUUCGUAGAUAUUCGGAGGAACACCAGUGGCGAAGGCGGCUCACUGGCUCGGUACUGACGCUGAGGUGCGAAAGCGUGGGGAGCAAACAGGAUUAGAUACCCCGGUAGU